rnacentral:rRNA from 1 species
UUGAGGAAUUUUCCGCAAUGGGCGAAAGCCUGACGGAGCAAUGCCGCGUGAAGGAUGAAGGCCUAUGGGUUGUAAACUUCUUUUCUCAGAAAAGAAUUAUGACGGUAUCUGAGGAAUAAGCAUCGGCUAACUCUGUGCCAGCAGCCGCGGUAAGACAGAGGAUGCAAGCGUUAUCCGGAAUGAUUGGGCGUAAAGCGUCUGUAGGUUGUUUAAAAAGUAUUCUGUCAAAGAUUAGGGCUUAACCCUAGAUAGGCAGAAUAAACUUUUAAGCUAGAGUUUGGUAGAGGCAGAAGGAAUGCCCGGUGGAGCGAUGAAAUGCGUAGACAGCGGGAGGAACACCAAAGGCGAAGGCAAUCUGCUGGGCCAAUACUAACACUGAGAGACGAAAGCGAGGCGAGCAAAUGGGAUUAGAAACCCGUGUAGUCC